AGGGUUCGAUUCUGGCUCAGGAUGAACGCUAGCUACAGGCUUAACACAUGCAAGUCGAGGGGCAGCAUUAUCGAAGCUUGCUUGAUAGAUGGCGACCGGCGCACGGGUGAGUAACGCGUAUCCAACCUUCCCAUCACUCAGGGAUAGCCCGCCGAAAGGCGAAUUAAUACCUGAUGGUCUCCUUCGCGGACAUCUAACGAGGAGUAAAGAUUUAUUGGUGAUGGAUGGGGAUGCGUCUGAUUAGGUAGUAGGCGGGGUAACGGCCCACCUAGCCGACGAUCAGUAGGGGUUCUGAGAGGAAGGUCCCCCACAUUGGAACUGAGACACGGUCCAAACUCCUACGGGAGGCAGCAGUGAGGAAUAUUGGUCAAUGGACGGAAGUCUGAACCAGCCAAGUAGCGUGCAGGAUGACGGCCCUAUGGGUUGUAAACUGCUUUUGUGCGGGAAUAAAGUAUGGGACGUGUCCCAUUUUGCAUGUACCGCACGAAUAAGGACCGGCUAAUUCCGUGCCAGCCGCCGC
rnacentral:rRNA from 1 species